GGCCAACUGCCCACUGUGUCCACUGCAAGUCUGAGCAGGGGCCCGCAGCCUUGGCCCCCAUAUCCUCUGGCAGAGUCCUUGUCCCUCAUAGCCCCCACAUGGGCUCUCUUUGCUACCAUGGGGAGGACCCCUGAGGUCCCAGCAUCCUCACAAAACCCACAUUUUUCUAGAUCACAAGAGUGGUCCACCCCCUCAUCCCCAACGGGAAGCACAGCCAGAGAAGGGGUCCAAAAUCCCCAAGAGGGUAGGAGUUUUGGGUCCAUUCACCACCCAUCUGUCCAUCCAUUCGUCACCCAGUCCUAGCCAGCUCUUGCACAGGCCUCGCCACGGCCCCUGAGAAGAUGUCACCACUGUGCCUGUGUCACAGAAACACAUCGGCUGCCACCGCCUCGCUGGGCCUUGCUGUUCUCCCUGGGCAUGGUGGCUACGCUCAUUUCCAAAGCAGUGCCCGUGCCCUGCUUUAUAGGGUAAGCCAGCUCUAUUAGCUUUUAUCUGUGGCACGAAAACCACCCCCACUGUCCUUCACCUCUCUGGCUAUGCCACAUGCGCCUCCCAGGUGCUGGGCCGUGCGACAGAGCCAGCUAUCGGGGGUCAGCUCCCCGGGCCCAGCUCCCUCCUUCCGUGGUAGGUUAUUCCCAGAAGUUCCUUGGCCUCUGCAACAAGCUUCUGGCGAGGCCGGACCCACCAGCUCCAGGUACAUUUCCAAAGCAUCUGCAUCCAGCAAUGGUCCCAGCUGAGGCCGAAAUUUAGGGUUUCUGCCAUCUGGAGCAGGGGCCGUGCAGCAGGGGAGUUUGCACCCAGUUCAGCCAUCGGGCUUAAGGCGCAAACACGAGUCCAGAUGCCACCGAACAGUAUGUGGCCUGGGUCGGGGCUGGCUGGAGGCCUGGAGGGGCCUGGAGGGGUGGACCCACCAAGUGGAUCUCAGGGCUCCCAGCACUGGGGAAACUGGGGAAGGUGGCACCAGAGGCCUCCUCUCUCCUCCUUUCCUUGCCCUCUGACCUCUGACCAUCACCAGGAGGUGCUCCCUGAGUCUUCAAAGAGCCAGAGGUGCCUGCAGCACUGGUAUGUGAUAGAGCUUGUUCAGUCACUCACAGCUAAGCAAUUAAGGUCAGAUUCCCCAUGCUGUGGGCAAUCCACCUUACCCGCCUCCCCAGGAGCUGCCUACCUGCAGCGCGGCACCAAAUGCUCUGCCUGGAAGGUCAGAGGGGCCUCGGUGUCCUGUUUUUCAGCUGUCUGUCCUUGGAUAAGUUUCCGAGCUCUGGGCGAUCUGUUUGUGAAAUGAGAGUAAGCAGAGCGUCUGCUUCCGGGGCUGCUGCAAGGAUUGAGUGACUGUGGGGAGCACCUGCCCCAGCCCCUGGGGCGCAGCCCCAUUUGGCACGCAAGGUGUCACGCUGCUGGCCCCAGGAAUGUUUUUAUGGGGCUUGGCUACUUGCCAUCAGCCCAGGGACGCUGUAGGCCCAUCGAGAUUGACUCGUACCCUGCGCAGGCCUUCAGUUUGCUCUCCACAAGUCAGAUUCUGACGGGGCUCUGGUGCAGAAGGAGGGGGGCAGUCAGGGCCCUACCGGGGGCAGGACAAGAAAGAAUCUUCGAGAGUCAGGAAAGAGUGCGGGCCCAAUGCAUCAGAAUGCACCGGAAAUGCUUCUACCCUCCAAGGAGUGUCUUGCUAUUGAAGCAGGUAAAAAUCCAUCGCUGCUGUCAUACAUGGGACAUCACACAUGUCCCAGGUUACAUGUGGAGGGUUAAGAGCAGGGAAGGGGGAGAGAAGCGCCCAUUGAAGUUCAUGGUGAGAUGCAGAAGCAGGUGGAGAGAGCAAAAGAGGGACAGAAGGACUUAAAGGGAAAAAAGAGGCCACGAGGAAGCAUGAGAGUGUGUGACAGGGGAGGUGCAGGUCCUGGAUUCUGGUCUUGCCCCUGCAGUGCCCUGCAGAGGAGUCCAGACACCCCCUCACUACCCCCCAGCAGGAUGGCACAUGCAGCCCGGCUCUCUCCCCUGACCCCUGCCACAAACAACCCAGCAGCUGGUCUUCGGGUGCCAAGGGUUGUGGGACAGCUCAAGCAAGUAAACCCUGCAGACAUCCACGUUCCCUGGUCAUCUGCCAUCGGCACUAAGCUCUUAAUAUUUAUCUCAAAGAGAGAACUGCCGGAGAGUCCAUGCAUCUGCGUGUGUGUGUGUACACAAAUGCACAGAGCCACGCCUGCUGUGUUUUAAGGGCUUCUAAGUGUCAUGACUCACGUGGCCCCAACGUGAUUUGAUGGCUUGUUUAGAACAUGGCAGUAGACAGGACUAUGUUUUAGCUGGGGCUGGCCUCGGACAAGUCCUUAAACAUCCACGUGCCUCCAGGUGAGUAAAAACCGUACAUGUGCAGUGAGUUGAUGAUCAAGACGCAUCUCAUGAUGCCCAUCCCCCCAGGCACCCUCAACCCACCCUGUGGUCCCCACCCCAGGACGCUGAAAGACAGCCGUGCCCCUACGCUCACGGCUGCCACAUGUGGCCCUAAGGGAGGGAAAGAAUUCACGUGCCAGUUCCUGCAGUGCGCCAGGCACCCAGCUAACUGCUUCCGGAGAUCUUGGUGGCCCCAUUCUGUAAGUGUCCCUACACUCCCCUGAUGCUCACGACACCAUGAGGAAACUGAGGUUCUAAGAGCACAGCUUCCCCAGAGUCACCCUGCUCAUGGGCGUCGGGACCUGCAGAUGAGCCACCCAGUCCUUCCUGAAGCCAGAGCUGCGCCCAUCUCUCCGUCACCUCGCCGGGGCCUCACGACAACCUGGCGGGAGAUGGCAAGCCGGCUCCUCUGCAGUGGGAAGUUUCAAAAGACAUCCCAGCUGUCCGGCCUCCCUUCUCUCCUUUGGCCACAUCGUUAUCCCCUGGCUCACCUGUGCCGGGAUGCUUGUGACAAGUGGGGACCUCCCCCAGCAGCUGCAGAUUUGGGGUGCUGGCACGAGAGUGGGGUUGGCGUCUCCCCCGCAUGCUCCGCGUUGUCGUUGGAGAGCAGUUCACGGUGGUGGCAGGAACGGAACCUGGACUGCCGGGACUGACAGAGGGUCAGUCGGGCAGCUGCGAAAGAUCCAUCCACCCAGAACCCCAGAACAUUGUCUCACUUGGAAUAAGGGUCUUCGCAGGUUUGUGGUCAAGGGUCUCGCUAUGCUGCCUUGGCUCGUCUCAAACUCCUGUC